rnacentral:sRNA from 1 species
CAGCCUGCGCCUGCUGCGGCGAGAUGUAGUGGACGUGCGCGUCGAUGCCGCCGGCCGUCAGGAUGAGAUGCUCGCCCGAGAUCGCAUCCGUGCCCGGUCCGAGCGCGAGGCCUGGCGUGACACCCGACAUGGUGGACGGAUUGCCGGCCUUGCCGAUGGCGCAAACCAGGCCGUUCUUGAUGCCGACAUCGGCCUUGAUGACACCCUGCACCGCGUCGACGAUGGUGACAUUGGUGAUGACGAGAUCCGGAGCGCCCGCGGCGCUGGUAAGCUCGUUGUCGUAGCCCAUGCCGUCG